GAACCAUACCAAACUGUUGCCUCGGCGGGGUCACGCCCCGGGUGCGUCGCAGCCCCGGAACCAGGCGCCCGCCGGAGGGACCAACCAAACUCUUUUCUGUAGUCCCCUCGCGGACGUUAUUUCUUACAGCUCUGAGCAAAAAUUCAAAAUGAAUCAAAACUUUCAACAACGGAUCUCUUGGUUCUGGCAUCGAUGAAGAACGCAGCGAAAUGCGAUAAGUAAUGUGAAUUGCAGAAUUCAGUGAAUCAUCGAAUCUUUGAACGCACAUUGCGCCCGCCAGUAUUCUGGCGGGCAUGCCUGUCCGAGCGUCAUUUCAACCCUCGAACCCCUCCGGGGGGUCGGCGUUGGGGAUCGGGAACCCCUAAGACGGGAUCCCGGCCCCGAAAUACAGUGGCGGUCUCGCCGCAGCCUCUCCUGCGCAGUAGUUUGCACAACUCGCACCGGGAGCGCGGCGCGUCCACGUCCGUAAAACACCCAACUUCUGAAAUGUUGACCUCGGAUCAGGUAGGAAUACCCGCUGAACUUAAGCAUAUCAAUA
rnacentral:rRNA from 1 species